AGCAGUCGCCACGGUAAUACGUAGGUGGCGAGCGUUGUCCGGAAUCAUUGGGCGUAAAGGGAGCGCAGGCGGGCAUGUAAGUCUUUCUUAAAAGUUCGGGGCUCAACCCCGUGAUGGGAAAGAAACUACAUGUCUUGAGUACAAGAGAGGAAAGCGGAAUUCCCAGUGCAGCGGUGAAAUGCGUAGAUAUUAGGAAGAACACCAGUGGCGAAGGCGACUUUCUGGACGAAAACUGACGCUGAGGCGCGAAAGCCAGGGGAGAGAACGGGAUUAGAUACCCGAGUAGUCCCUGUCUCUUAUACA
rnacentral:rRNA from 1 species